UACGGAGGGUGCAAGCGUUAAUCGGAAUUACUGGGCGUAAAGCGCACGCAGGCGGUUUUUUAAGUCAGAUGUGAAAUCCCAGGGCUCAACCGUGGAACUGCAUUUGAUACUGGCAAGCUUGAGUAUCGUAGAGGGGGGUAGAAUUCCAGGUGUAGCGGUGAAAUGCGUAGAGAUCUGGAGGAACACCGGUGGCGAAGGCGGCCCCCUGGACGAAGACUGACGCUGAGGGGCGAAAGCGUGGGGAGCAAACAGG
rnacentral:rRNA from 1 species